rnacentral:rRNA from 1 species
UACGUAGGGUGCAAGCGUUACUCGGAAUUACUGGGCGUAAAGCGUGCGUAGGUGGUGAGUUAAGUCUGUCGUGAAAGCCCCGGGCUCAACCUGGGAAUGGCGAUGGAUACUGGCUCGCUAGAGUGCGGUAGAGGAGAGUGGAAUUCCCGGUGUAGCAGUGAAAUGCGUAGAGAUCGGGAGGAACACCGAUGGCGAAGGCAAUCCCCUGGACCUGUACUGACGCUCAUGCACGAAAGCGUGGGGAGCAAACAGG